rnacentral:rRNA from 1 species
GGAGGAAAAAGAAACAACAGGGAUUGCCUUAGUAGCGGCGAGUGAAGCGGCAAAAGCUCAAAUUUGAAAUCUGGCGCCUUCGGUGUCCGAGUUGUAAUUUGAAGAUUGUAACCUUGGGGUUGGCUCUUGUCUAUGUUUCUUGGAACAGGACGUCACAGAGGGUGAGAAUCCCGUGCGAUGAGAUGCCCAAUUCUAUGUAAGGUGCUUUCGAAGAGUCGAGUUGUUUGGGAAUGCAGCUCUAAGUGGGUGGUAAAUUCCAUCUAAAGCUAAAUAUUGGCGAGAGACCGAUAGCGAACAAGUACAGUGAUGGAAAGAUGAAAAGAACUUUGAAAAGAGAGUGAAAAAGUACGUGAAAUUGUUGAAAGGGAAGGGUUUGAGAUCAGACUCGAUAUUUUGUGAGCCUUGCCUUCGUGGCGGGGUGACCCGCAGCUUAUCGGGCCAGCAUCGGUUUGGGCGGUAGGAUAAUGGCGUAGGAAUGUGACUUUACUUCGGUGAAGUGUUAUAGCCUGCGUUGAUGCUGCCUGCCUAGACCGAGGACUGCGAUUAUCAAGGAGCAAUCAUGCGA